rnacentral:lncRNA from 1 species
CAAGCACCAGUGUAAUUUGACUCUCCAGAGUUGUUCCAGCCCAUAUAUGGAAUUGUGAUAUCUACCUAGGCCAACCUCAAGGAGAUGUGACUUUCCUGCCUGGGCCCUUCUCUCAGCAAGGAAAUUUUGACCUAUUGCACUCAGAUGAUGUUACUCUUCUGCAAGAGUCCUCAAAAAUGUGGGAGUUACUGCAUAAUGAUGGGCCCAGCACCCUAAUGAUGCUACGGUCCUGCUGGUGCCAGAGCCACAGACAGUAUUUUGACAUGUCUUCUGAUCAUUUUCACCUAGGUGAUGUUUCUACUCUCUUGCCUUGCCCGAACCACAGAGGAGAUUGUGACAUAUUGAUAAACCCAGCAUUAAGGGUCCUGGCCACAAGAAAGAUUAUGACAUCUCACUGGACCAGAACCCUCACAGGUGAUGUGGCAUUUCUGCUUGCUCCUUGCCCAUGGAUGAUAUAGUGCCAUAUACUCCAGAACAAAUAAGAGGAUGAAUCAUGACUCUUAAACCUGAAGCCAGUUCACAUCCAAGAUGGUGACUCCUACUCCUGAAACUUUUCACCAGUGUUAUUGUGACAUAUUCCAUUUCCCAUCUCUUGAGUGACUUAAUAAUCCUGCCUAAAUGUUGCCCACAAAUGAGAUUUGGACAUAUUCUUCAGCUGAGUGCCUUGGUGAUUUGACCAUCCUGUAUUAACAAUAUCCUCAGGAAGGACUGUAACAUGGCUUUGAACCCAUCAUCUAGUUAUGUUACUCUCCUCUCCUGCCUGGACCCUCCUUCCACUGGGUAUUACAGCAUUUCUAAGCAUGCCAUCCAAAUAAUAUGACCCUCUUGCCUGGUCCCUUCA